rnacentral:lncRNA from 1 species
AAAGAAACGUAAAUAGGGAAAUCAGAUUAUUGUCCAAAAAUUCCAUUCACGUGAUCCCUUACCCAUUUUGUCCUCUUUUAUUUUCCUUAAAUAAAUGAAUAAUGCUUUCUUUAUUUUUCAAUGGGGCCCACCUCCUUAAAAUGGAUUUCUUCCAUAUCCUCAAAGAAACAGAAGCCAAAAAUUCCUUUUACUCAUUCUCGUACUUUGCAUUAGGGACAAAUUAGCACCACAAUAUUUUAUCACUUUGUCCAUUCCACUCACGUGAACACACAUUUACAAUACGUUUUGGGUCUUUUCUCCCUCUCCAAGUUGAUACCCUUUUCUUCUUGAGAGAUAGACACACACACACAGUCAAAACGAAAACAGAGAGGGACGUUAGAGGGAGAGGAGCACGGACAGAGAAAAACAGAGACGGAUGAUAUCUAAGCUCUAAGAACGAAUCACCAUGGCUUGAACCGAAAAAUUUAAGUCAUUUUCCUCUUAAAACCAUCUCCCUUUUUAUUUUUCAGGAGCAAAACCUUCAUCAUCGUCCCUAUUUUCUCCACCUUUACACCACCCUGACAGAUCCAUAAACACCCAUCUACUCAGCCAUUCACAAUCACAUAAACAGGAUCAAACCCCUUCCAAUUUCAAGCAAUGUGCAGUUGUUGAGGUUCCGGUCGACGACGGUAUCACAUUUUGAGUUUCGGUCUAGUGGUUCUAAGUUCCGGGUUAAUUGUUGUUCACCCUGCUAUUUGCUCGGUUUUGUUUAAGGAUCCUGUACAAUUUUCAAGUAUUUAAGGAAAUCCGAUGGCUCCUUUUUGAGGUCCAUUUCUAUUCUCAUCUUGCCCCGUCCUCCGGGAGAAAUAUUUGGGGAAAUUUAGCUCCAACCCUUCCUAUUUUUGUCCCUAAAAUGGGGAUGAAUAGUGUUCCUUCUCCCCCAUUAUUAUUCAUCAUUUUUUUAUUAUUAUUUUAUUAUUUAAUUUUUUAAUUUAUCUCUUUAUAUAUACCUAAUUAUGUUUAUGUAAUGUAUUUAUAAUAUUAAUAUUAUAUCUUAACUUUGUUGUAUAAUUUUGAUAAAUUAAUUUUCGUGCAUUUAUUAUUUUUAUGUAGAAAUGACAGUAGAUGAAAAUCAACGAUUUCAAGAAUUUUUAUUUCGACAUAGAAGAAUUAAGGACAAAGAUGCUCAUUUUGCAUUUCGUAAUGCAUUAAUAGAUCAUUUAUGGGAGAAUACUAGAGGUUGAAAUUGAAUAUUUAUCUAAUGUUUCGAAUGAAUAGUUAAUCUAUAAUAAUUGCUUACAAAUUAUAUUANAGAAGAAUAUAAAAAGAUUUGGGAAAAAAAUGAGGGAAUAGUUGAAGUAAGUUAUCUCAAAAUGAGAAAAUCCCCAUUUUAAGGACAAAAAAUGGGAUAAAGGUUUGAGAUGCUCCAUAUGUGCUUUGCUCUUUUCAUUAUUUUAUUUUUGAUUUUGAGUGUUUCAUGUCUUGCCUCGUUAUCUUAAUUUGCUUCAUAUUGGUUUACUGUCUUCUUUUGGUAUUAUAGUUAAUUUUGUAUUAAAUCAAUUUGAAUUAAUUGGGGUUGAGCUUGAAGUGAAUCUGAAAUAUUAAGGCAAAUAGGUUACAAUUUGAUAAACGAGACAAAAAUUAAAUUCGAUCACGGAGGUUGACUUGGACUUCGUGAGGCAAAAUGGUCGUGCAGAGAAGGAAAUUAUAGUAAUUUGAGCUUGAAAUGAUUUUUUUUAGUUCUUUAUUUUGCUUUAUUGCUUUUAAUUGAUAGGAACAUGAUCUGGACAGGCAAACUCUAGGACUUUUAUUUCAGUCGAGGUUAGAGGUUGUUCCUUAAUUUUAUUAUAUUAUUCAGGGAAUGCCCCGAGUAACUUGUAAAUAUUUUUAUUCCGAAAAAAUGCCUCGUAGUAUUGUGU